ensembl:lncRNA
GGAGCAAUUAGGGGUUAGGUGUCUUGCUCAGGGACACUUCAACAUGGAACAUGAGACAGCCUGGACUCGAACCACCAACCUUGUGCUUCCCAGCACACCUUUUCUAACCCCUGCGCCACAACCCCGUGAUUAAAUAUGUUUGCACUGAGGAGCCUGAUUGUCCCGGCCUUCGUCCUUGAGGUUCUUCAGGUAUGGGCCUUGAAAUCAUGGGUCUGGCGACUCAUGAUGCAUGAUGCGGGUCACAGGCUUUUCUGGGGCUCCGCGGGCCAAGGCCCCGUUUUCAGUUGGUGGCAGGUCUCGGCAUGUGUGAUUCAUUUAUAGUCUGGGCGAAGGGGUUUGUCUGUUCUGAUAGUAGGGUUUGGGGUUUUUAGGAUGAUGAAAUUGAAUAGCCUAUUGAAUAUAGUUAAUUUUACGAAUGUAAACUUAUAUUGUAUUGAUUAUUAAAUAACUAUUUUUAAAGGUUUUUGGAAUGGAUGCUAAUGGUAAAAAGAAUGUAUUCACGGAGGUAAGCCUCUCCCAGCAGCAACGUGUACUUACAUGCAACGUGAGCAGUAAAAUCCCUCCUUUCUCUAAACAGAGAGACACACAGGACAUUGAGCUUGACCGAGUAGCCUUGUCAAGUAGAACUCAGGAACAAAAAGCAUCCACAGUUCCUUCAUAAUUAAUACUUGUUAAAUAAUUUGAGUCUUUUUUAGUUGGACUUUUUUAUUUUAUCUUUGUGCAUGAAAGCACUGUUGAGUUUGUUAUAAAAGGGUGAAGUUACUUAAUUGUAUAUAGGUUCAUCCUGCACCAUCUUUUUUCAUUAGGUAAGACAAUUCUAUUUGUACAGCACAUUUUAACAACAAGGCAAUUCAAAGUGCUUCACAUAAAACCAUCAAAACAUCCAAACAUAAAGCGAGGAGAUUUACAAACAGUUAAGAAUGUCUUGGAGACAUCAAAACUUGGAUGACCGGCAACUUCCUGAUGCUAAACUCAGAAAAAACGGAAGUUAUCCUGAUAGGCCCAGAGCGCCUUUGAAGCCAGCUGUCACGUGUUACAGUUUUUAUGGAUGGAAUUGCUCUGGUACCCAGCAGCACCGUCAGGAAUCUGGGAGUUCUCUUCGACCAGGAUAUGACCUUCAACUCGCAUAUAAAGAAGACUUCAAGGACUGCCUAUUUUCAUCUACGUAACAUAUCAAAAAUCAGGAACUUCCUGUCUCAAAGU